UACUUGUUUAUGUUUAGGGAACAAAAGUACUUGUUUAUGUUUAGGGAACAAAAGUACUUGUUUAUGUUUCGAGAACGAAAGUACUUGUUUAUGUUUAGAGAACAAAGGUACUUGUUUAUAUGGGGACUUGUGUUUUGUCCCCAUAAGGUAGGAAAGUCAACACAUUGACGUAAUCUGAUGAAACACACGUUCUUCUUCUUCUAUUUGAUUUACAGGUGAACCACAGCUGCAGUGAUUGAUCGUCUGAAUGUUCUCAGCGUUACGUAACAGACGGUUACAUAAAGUGAAGGACUGCAGAGUCAGUGAACACCUGCUGAACACCUGACAUCUGUGGUGCAUUCAGGGACAAUCUGACAUCUGACAGUCAGUAAACAACGGUUGGACAGAGCAAAGAAGUAAAUAAAGAUACCAACGAAGAAGAAGAAGAGUCUCAGCUGAUGUUUAAAACUAAGAGAUGUAGAGCUGGUCUCCUCUCAGGACCACAAACCGGUUCCUCCAGAGCUCCCUGAAGAUCCCUCGACCGCAGAACUUCCUGAUCCAGCCCACUUUGUCUGGCUGCUGGACCGCCUGCUGACCCGAGUCCUGAAGGCCCUGAAACACCAGAGAGAGAGGGGUCAGAGAGAGACCACCGACACCAGUAGAGUCUGGACCGAGUCCUGUAACACCAAAAUACAACAACAGGGUCAGAGAGAGACCACAGAGACCAGUAGAGACCAGUAGAGACAUCUACAUUUUCAGAGCAAGAAGAAGAAGAAGAUGAUGAAGACGUCGGAAAACGAGAGGAAGAGGAGGAAGAAGAAGACCAUGAAGCAGGGCAGAGAGCUGAGGAAGAGGAGAUGAUGAAGAUGUUCUCUACUUGUCUGACCCGCUUCAUUAAAUCAAAGGAAACACAGAGAAGAAGAAGUUUGAGGUACUUGUACUUUACUUUCUAUUUCAUGCUACGUUAUACUACAAACUACAAACACGACAUAUUGUUACAUCGGCUCGUCUUCAUAAAAGGUACUCUUCGUUUUAAUGCGUUUUUGGGAUGAAAGUUAGUAACACAUCAGUUUAUGCUCGUUACAUAUAUACAGUAUUUUCAAAAUAAAGUUCUGUCUUCACAGGAGACAAGUUAGGAAAAAACAAACCCGAUUAAAUCGUAUCGGGACCCUUCAGAUCUAUCCGGUGACCCUCUGGAGGGGCCCGAUCCUUAGGUUAAGAACCACUGGACUCACCUAGCGGACCGUAAAGUAUCAAGUCUUUUUAUAUUGUUGUACUAGUACUUUUACUUAAGUAGAGGGUCAGAGUACUUCACUGUGACAAGAUUGAAUGUUUUAUUUUGAGAUGAUCUUUAAAUAUAAAAACGGUUUUAAUAACUGAGAUCAAACUCAUUUUUA